GAGUGGCGAACUGGUGAGUAACACGUGGGAAACCUGCCCAGAAGCGGGGGAUAACACCUGGAAACAGAUGCUAAUACCGCAUAACAACUUGGACCGCAUGGUCCGAGUUUGAAAGAUGGCUUCGGCUAUCACUUUUGGAUGGUCCCGCGGCGUAUUAGCUAGAUGGUGGGGUAACGGCUCACCAUGGCAAUGAUACGUAGCCGACCUGAGAGGGUAAUCGGCCACAUUGGGACUGAGACACGGCCCAAACUCCUACGGGAGGCAGCAGUAGGGAAUCUUCCACAAUGGACGAAAGUCUGAUGGAGCAACGCCGCGUGAGUGAAGAAGGGUUUCGGCUCGUAAAACUCUGUUGUUAAAGAAGAACAUAUCUGAGAGUAACUGUUCAGGUAUUGACGGUAUUUAACCAGAAAGCCACGGCUAACUACGUGCCAGCAGCCGCGGUAAUACGUAGGUGGCAAGCGUUGUCCGGAUUUAUUGGGCGUAAAGCGAGCGCAGGCGGUUUUUUAAGUCUGAUGUGAAAGCCUUCGGCUCAACCGAAGAAGUGCAUCGGAAACUGGGAAACUUGAGUGCAGAAGAGGACAGUGGAACUCCAUGUGUAGCGGUGAAAUGCGUAGAUAUAUGGAAGAACACCAGUGGCGAAAGCGGCUGUCUGGUCUGUAACUGACGCUGAGGCUCGAAAGUAUGGGUAGCAACAGGAUUAGAUACCCUGGUAGUCCAUACCGUAACGAUGAAUGCUAGUGUUGAGGGUUUCCGCCCUCAGUGCUGCAGCUACGCAUAGCAUC
rnacentral:rRNA from 2 species